AGCUUUGCCCAGUGGCAGUAUCAUAGCCAAUGAGGUUUAUCCGAGGCGCGAUUAUUGCUAAUUGAAAACUUAAAGAAUUCCUGGUCUUGUCACUUCCCCCUUUAUGGUGCUGAGUUUAAAAUCAUCCAAAGCUUAAGUAAUUAA
ensembl:snRNA U4 U4 spliceosomal RNA